UUUACCUACCCACCCAGAAUAAGGCAGCUGAGUGCAGCCCUCAUGGUCCUGUUUGCACUGAGUUUCCCAAAGAUAUUCUCCCUUGGGGGGGGAAGAGACCACCUUGACUGUAAGACCCUCUCCCUGCUUGCUGGCCUCUUUCCACCUGGCCUGGAAGGUUGGGCCUUGAUGGACUGCAGCUAUAAAAGGUGACACAAGGAGAUUGCACUUGUGGUUUCGAAAACACAUCUGGGGACCUCUGGAUCCUAGGAGCUGUGUUCGUAAGAGAAUGCUACAGUAUUUUUGACAGGGCAAACAACCAAGCUGGACCACCAAAGGCAGUCUAGAAUAAUUAUGCCUUUAAACAGCAAGUAAUGUCAUUGUUCAUCUAAUCAGCUUACUCAAAGUUCAUCUUAAUUUCAUAGCAAUGUGUUUGAGCUAAUAAUAGCAAUACCGAUU